AUUAAAACGUGAAGAUGAUGUGGCGUUUGAAAGAAGAUAUUGAUUCGGAUACUUUGUACAAUAACGAUGAGGAAAUCGGCGCUAGUAGGCCCUACAGGUCUGUGUCCGCCUUGAAGAAGAUCUUCAUUUUUUGAAGGUGAAGCUACAAUAUUUGUCUUGAACUUGACUUUACUAGCUGGGCUUAUAAAGACAAGAUAUCCAGAAGUGAUUUCAUAGAGAAAUGGAAAUCAAUAAUACCUAGAAGCAUGUGAAGUGGAGAUGAAGUGAUGCUGAGAACUUUUAAGGUAUAUUUUGCUAUUUUUGAGUAAACCUGUGACAUAAAGUGUAACUCCCUGCAUUUUAGAAUUCCUUAUUAGCUUGACUAUAUGAAGUAUAUAGAGAGCUGUCCUACUCACCCCGGCGUCUGUGUCAAGAUUUCAGAUUAAAGUUUUGGUGCAGUAAAAUAUUUUGGACUGUAACUUUUUAUUGUGCCCCCACUAUAGGUGGGUGGGGGCAUUUAGAUUUACCCUUGUCCGUCUAUCCGCACUCACAGGACAGUAAUUAUGUGGCUAGAGGGACAAUAGGUAACUGUUCUUUCUCUUUGAUGUCAUUCAUUUCGUUAUGCUUUUAUGUGGCUAUUUUCUUUUGUGUGGCUAAAAAGAACAAUAGAGAGAACAAUAAAGUAGCCACAUUAUUACUCUCCUGUUAGAACGUCCAUCCAUCCGUCCAUUCUCUUUUUGUGUCACACGUAACUCAAAAAGUAAUUGAUCUAGAGUCAUGAAACCUUACAGGAAUGUUGAUCAGCAUGUGAAGUUGUGCACCUGGG